rnacentral:lncRNA from 1 species
AAGUGCUGGGAUUAAAGGCGUGUGCCACCACUGCCCAGCUACGAAGUCUUUUUAUAAAGCCUGUAGUUUUUGAGAAUUGCAAUAUUUUAAAUUUUCUAGGAGUAGAGUAGAAGAGGAGGUACUAUAUAUUGAAAGGUUUUUUUUGUUUGUUUUUGUUUUUUGGUUUUUUUUGUUUUUUAGUUAAAAAAAAUUGAAUGUGUCUAGGUCUCAGCUUUCAUGGUUGCUGCUGCUUAUAUUUCUCAUUUUUAAUAUUGUUUUUAAUCUAUCUUAGUGGAAGGCUAAAGGUUAUAAUUAUGUUUAAUUGUAUAUGCAUGUAAAUUGGUUUUUAAAAAGUACCAUUCUGAAGAUUCAUUAUCAGACUUCUGAAAGCGGAGGUGCCACUCAGCGGCAGCUCCAUUCACACCACCACAGAGCACACAGGCAGCCGCUGUCAUGCCGUGUGCUGCUCCAGUGUAACCUCUGAUGCCUUUGCAUGGUUGCAGUCUGUGGAGCUGUCUGGGGCAGCAGCUGCUCCCACCCUUGUUAUUGUCCUUCUUAGGUCUCUGUCCCUACUUUCUGUCACGUCUUACUACCUCUUCUCUUCUCAUAGAUGCUCAAUGUCUUCUCAUUUCCUCUUCUGACUUGUAAGUUUGUUUUUUAUUUUUGUUUAAGGUUAGGGAAUCUAGAGAAGAAAGAUUGAUAAAAUUAUAUCUGAUUUCCUUUCUUUCUUUUUUUGUCUUGUUAUGUAUUUUUUGGUUUGGGUUUGGUUUUUGGAGACAAGAGUUUCUGUGUGUAACCCUGGCUGUCUGUAGACAAGCCAGCCUCAAACUCACAGAGGUCAAUCUGCCUUUGCCUUCCAAGUGUUGGGAUUAAAGAUGUGAGCCACCACCACCCAGCUACAUCUGAAAAUUUUAAGAAAUUGAAAAAAUACUUUCUAUAAAUAAGAUACAUGGGUGUGUCUGUGGUGUUGGUGGGGGUGUACCUAACUUCAUUUCAUCAGCAGGUAGCUAAAUGUAUCAACUAAUUGACAAAACUAAGCUGUGAGCACUGUCGUUGAAUUUCUUUGGUAGUGACAUGGGGGGAUUUGUACUUGUUUUCCAUUAGAUAGGGCCUCCUCCAGAAUCUGUUACUUCUCAAGUGAAUUAACUUGUCUUUACAUUUAAAUGUGGUAAAAUCAUUUGUGAAUGACUUUUCCUCAACAUAAAUUGUUCAUUAACUCAGACAGGAUUUCAGGCAUCAUUAUCUUUAGAGGCACAUAGACUCUGAACAUUUCAGGCUUAGCUCGCUGUAUAGUUCUGUGAUCUGCUAAGUAAGGUAUUAGUUGACAUCUUGGUUCUCAGAUUUAUUAUUUGGUGAUGAGUCUGAUUACAUGAUGAGGUUGUGCUGGGCUUUUCUGCUGUGAGCAGGCGUCCCUCGCUCGGGUGUGCCUCGGGAAGGAGAAGCAGAUUUUCAGCACCAGUUCAUGCAGCCUGUCAUUUUUUUUUUUCUUAUCCUCAAAGACAAAACGUACUGAAAACAUUUUCUGAACUCUCUGUGAGACAUAACUUGUCAUAGUCUCUGGUCUAUAGAAAGACUGAAAAAAUUCUACUGUCUGAAAGCCUGAAGCAGAACUGUGAAGGCAUUCUGAGAUUAUCAGAUACCACAAAGGUGCACGUCUCUUCAUAAUAACAAAACACUCAGAGGCCGAUUGUCAGCAUACAGAACGAUUUGGGUAGAUUAUUGAAUUAUCUAGUACAUGUUCCGGUCAGAGUAAAUGUGUUCCUAUUGCUGCCACCAUUCUUUUGGUGAUCUCAGUAGAGUGUGCUCGGGAUGGCAAGCUCAGGCCUGAGGGUUUGAACAGGGGGU